GACGAACGCUGGCGGCGUGCUUAACACAUGCAAGUCGAACGGAAAGGCCCUGCUUUUGUGGGGUGCUCGAGUGGCGAACGGGUGAGUAACACGUGAGUAACCUGCCCUUGACUUUGGGAUAACUUCAGGAAACUGGGGCUAAUACCGGAUAGGAGCUCCUGCUGCAUGGUGGGGGUUGGAAAGUUUCGGCGGUUGGGGAUGGACUCGCGGCUUAUCAGCUUGUUGGUGGGGUAGUGGCUUACCAAGGCUUUGACGGGUAGCCGGCCUGGGUGGGUGACCGGCCACAUUGGGACGAAGAUACGGCCCAGACUCCUACGGGAGGCAGCAGUGGGGAAUAUGGCACAAUGGGCGGAAGCCUGAUGCAGCAACGCCGCGUGCGGGAUGACGGCCUUCGGGUUGUAAACCGCUUUCGCCGGUGACGAAGCGUGAGUGACGGUAAUGGGUAAAGAAGCACCGGCUAACUACGUG
rnacentral:rRNA from 1 species